rnacentral:ncRNA from 1 species
CAGGUAAGUACUGUGUAAGAACCUGUCCUUGAGAGGGGAACAACAGCUGGAAAUGGCUGCUAAUACCCCGCUGGCUGAGGUGCAAAAGGAGGAAUCCGCCCGACUGAUUAGCUAAUUGGUGAGACAAUAGCUUACCAAAAUGAUGAUCCAUAGCUGGUCCAAGAGGAUGAUCAGCCACACUGGAAUAGUCAACCUUCCUGCAAAAGAUCUUUU